rnacentral:rRNA from 1 species
GGCUUACCAAGGCAACGAUGCAUAGCCGACCUGAGAGGGUGAUCGGCCACACUGGAACUGAGACACGGUCCAGACUCCUACGGGAGGCAGCAGUAGGGAAUCUUCCGCAAUGGGCGAAAGCCUGACGGAGCAACGCCGCGUGAGUGAUGAAGGUCUUCGGAUCGUAAAACUCUGUUAUUAGGGAAGAACAUAUGUGUAAGUAACUGUGCACAUCUUGACGGUACCUAAUCAGAAAGCCACGGCUAACUACGUGCCAGCAGCCGCGGUAAUACGUAGGUGGCAAGCGUUAUCCGGAAUUAUUGGGCGUAAAGCGCGCGUAGGCGGUUUUUUAAGUCUGACGUGAAAGCCCACGGCUCAACCGUGGAGGGUCAUUGGAAACUGGAAAACUUGAGUGCAGAAGAGGAAAGUGGAAUUCCAUGUGUAGCGGUGAAAUGCGCAGAGAUAUGGAGGAACACCAGUGGCGAAGGCGACUUUCUGGUCUGUAACUGACGCUGAUGUGCGAAAGCGUGGGGAUCAAACAGGAUUAGAUACCCUGGUAGUCCACGCCGUAAACGAUGAGUGCUAAGUGUUAGGGGGUUUCCGCCCCUUAGUGCUGCAGCUAACGCAUUAAGCACUCCGCCUGGGGAGUACGGCCGCA